GUGCUGCGGUGGGAGCCUCUGCUAGGGCCACCUCUGAGGGCUCCGAGGCUCCCACGACGGUUUGCUGCGGAUUCCUGUUCUUUUCAGGUGCUAAAGUGUUCCACUAAAACACAGAAAAAUGUAAGGCCCCCUUCAGGUAUUGGAAGACUGCUGUGAGAUCUCCAUGCAGUCUUCUCCAGGCUGAACAGCCCAACAAUGUAAAAGAUAUGAAUUUAGAAAAUGAGCAAGAAAUGACGAGAAUUUAAGAACACUCUAUCCUGAUCCUGCACAUAGGAGAAGCUCUCUGAAACUAGAGAGGGAAAGAGAGGGAUGAUGUGGACAAUAGGGAAUGGGGAGUCUGCACAUGGGAAAGUUUUUGAGAUGAUGAACAAUCCCUUUGCACAUUCAAGGCUUAUCAGAUCUAAAUGAAGAGCUACUUUAUAGUAAAGAUCUGAUUCCAGGACAUCCAAAUGGAGUUACAUGAUAUUAACUUUAUAAUAAGCACUUUGCCAAUGUAAAUCAAUACAAAGCACUUACGAAGUAUUUCGAAACUCUUUCCUUGAGGACACUUGGAGAUUUCCGAGUAAAUGACUUUGCCCUGGCUGACCCUCAGAGAGGCAUUCCACAUGUUAGAGGUAGCUGGGAGUAUAAAUCUGAUUAAAUCAAAACCCAGGCUGUAAGGAACC